AAAAUAAAUAAAUAAAAUAAAAAAUGCCCAAGCUCCUUGUGACCAGUGCCUGUGGUGUAGAAAGGUUGAAUUACAUCGCCAACAGGAAACAGGACCAGUGGCCUCAGUAUCCAGUCUGUCAUCUUCUCAGGCACCUCCUGUAUCUACAUAAUGCCCUGUGACUUGAAAGAAAAUUUCAAAAAUCUCUCAUAUCACCUUUCUAAUCAAGGCGAAGGACGAAGAAGCAAGAGCUGGAUUCUGAAGCUGAAAAAAAAAAUGAGAGCAUACAUCACUUUGGAAAUGUGCUUGCUGACUCAGAGUGAUAUGGAGGUACAGCUAACAAUGAAAUUAAAUGCAGUUCUAGACAAGCUAACCAUACUCUAAAGCAAUCAGCAUGAUGUAUUUAUUCUCCAUUUCCUCUCUGUGGCUAGAGAUUCAAAGGAUAAAGUCAUUAAAAAUCUU